rnacentral:tRNA from 1 species
GCCGAGUUCGUCUAGUGGUUAGGACACGAGAUUCUCAUUCUCGUAACACGGGUUCGAUUCCCGUACUCGGUA